GCAGCCUCCUUGUUGCUAGCUUGCCAAACAAUAGCCAUUGUUCCUGAAGGGUCUAGCCAAAAACAAUAUGAUGUGCAACUGCCUUCCCACUGUUGUCUUUGCAAAAUGACUUAAAAGUUCCAGAGAUGCCUUUACGGAUGGUGUACAGCACAAAUAAAUGCAAAAGGAGCAGAACACUUUGAAAAGCUUGUAGGAACAUUGGAAGAAGAAAAUCAUCACCAGCAUAAAGCACAGCCUGUGGGCAAAGCCUCUGCCACUCAGAUGUGCCCCCAGCGUGUGUCCCUGGUGACGUGUCCGUGUACUCAUCAUGGAAGCGUGUUCCACUCAAUGUACAGCUGCAGCGUCUUCCUCCCCGGGGGACACGGCAUCUAUAUGUCCAGAGAAACAACACGUGGGCCCAGGUCUGACCCCCUGACCUCCACAUGCUGCAAGCUGCUUCCAGAGCUGGGGGAAAGGAAAUGACCCACAGGAAACAAUGCAGGACAUCAUUCCGUACAAGGGUAUUUAUUUUAAUAUGACAGAACAUGAAGCCUUUUCCAUCGUGCAGUGAACAAGGCAGGGAAAGAAAAGCCUCUCUUGGUAAAUAAAUACGUCAGCACAUACAAGCAAGGAUUUGUGGAGACAAUGGAAACGUGGACAUCUGCCUUGUACCAGUUAACUCCAGGAAAAAGAGUAAUAUACACAGUACAAUGCUCCUUGAUAAGGCUAAGCCAGACCUGGAGAUGCUCGAAUGCAGCUGGAGGCAGGCAGGCACCCCCUGUUCCAGCACUGGGAGCUGCUCACCUUCGGGGCACUCAGGGAGACACAGCCAUGCCAGAGGAUCCUGUUGCUGUUCCUCAGAAAUCCCUUUGUCCUCCAGACUCGCCUGUGGGUCUUCCUGAACAGCAGGCACUUUUUCAAUAGCAACUUGGAGAUACUGAGGGAGAAUAGAAGGUCAUUUUCUAAGACAGGAUGCCAAGAGGACAGGAAUUGAAUGGUGCUGGCUGGCCACUAGACGCCAUGCAAAUCAAGAAUGCAGCGUGGUCCCCAGGGAAAUAGUUCAUGAGCCUGGAGUAUAUGAUAAACCUGCAACCAAAGCCUUCUCAGGCAAGUGCGAUAACAAUGUGUCACAUUCCAGAGGAGUCAAAAACAAAGGUUGCAAAAGUUCUUGCGAAGCAGCACUCCCUCAAGACAACUGUGCUUUCAAGGAAAAGGAAAGAUUUGGCAGGUUCUGUCACUUCUGGCUAUUUUCUGAAAACAACACUGAAGGGUUACGGUCAGUCUGUCUUGAAGCCUCUAUGUAAGUGACAGCAGAAAAGAAAUGUAAGAAUCUCCAACUUUUAAGAGGUUAAAAAAUUGAUAUGCCUAUGCAGCCACAUACUGAAAAUAAAGUAAAUGCCACAAUAAG